rnacentral:lncRNA from 1 species
UUUGUGUUGCAGCCAUUCUGGGAUCAACCUUGACGGGAGAAUUUGAGGAUGUUAAGCUUCUUCAUGACCUCCUCACCAAAAAGAAUGAGGAGACCGGUUGGGACACCCCCAUUCAUGUUGAUGCUGCUAGCGGCGGAUUUAUUGCUCCUUUUCUCUAUCCAGACCUUGAAUGGGAUUUCCGUUUGCCACUGGUGAAGAGCAUUAAUGUCAGUGGUCACAAGUACGGCCUUGUAUAUGCAGGUGUUGGCUGGGUUGUCUGGAGGACCAAAGAUGACUUGCCGGAUGAACUUGUCUUUCACAUCAACUACCUUGGAUCUGAUCAACCGACUUUCACCCUCAACUUCUCAAAAGGUAAUACACAUACAUAUCUGCGCAUAUGUUCAUUUCAUAUAUCAACUAAGCAUUUCUCCAUCCACGCGUGUGCAUAAGUUUACGCUUUCUCAUCAUUAUAAAUAUAACAGUAUGUUUAAAGGAUAAUUUUGCUACUAGAUAACUCGGAUUUUAUUUUCUAAUAUGUGAAGCACUUAUGGAGAUAUUGCAUCUUGUUUCUAGAAUUUCCAUGGCAUACAGAUCAAUUGGUGAUUUUCACAAGCUUUUUUAUUUGUGUAAUCUUUUCAUAAAGGCAUGUAUAUAAUAAAGAUAUGGUUUUUGACUAUAUAACGCUAAAAUAUGUUUUAAGUUGAGCACACGCAAUUUAUUUAACUUCUUGUUCGUCUUUAUCAGACAAUGAUUUUAAAUUCUUUUUAGAUGCUUUAGUUAUAAAUUAUUGCAGAUUAGAUGUGUAUGCAUGCAUAAAGAAGUGGGAAUCCACACACCCUAAAUCAUGCAGCCACCUCAAUAUUAAAAUGAAAGCUCAAACCUGCCACCACUAUGAGUGGUAUCACAUUUAUGCGGUAACAUAGCCUUGCAAACGCAGCCACUAAUCCCCAGCUAAAAAGCUGGAACAGACAAAAUGAUUGAAGGUAAGGGGCACGUGCUCGGGGGCAAGGCCAUUUGUUAAGGUUUAGGAAGGAAAGUAAGUUUUAAGUAUGAUUUUAAAGUUUUAAACACCCAAUUCAAGGCUAUUCUUACAGCUAAACUUUAAAUUUUAAACUAUAUCAAACUUUAAAGUCAUACUUUUUAAGUAUAUCUUACCUAAACCAGAAUAAAAGCUCGUUAGUGUACAUUUACCCAUAAUCUUGUAAACUUUUGUGUUUUCAAGCAUUUCAUUAGGGUGUUAUUUCUCCUGUUUGUGCUAAUCAUAGAGGACGGUGAAUCUUUUUAGGGUUAAAGUUUUAAGAUUUAGGACUUGGGGGUUAAGUUUACGUUCUGUUUUGGUGGCUGCUUUAGAGUUUGAUGACAUUUCCCCUGUAUUGGUUGUUAUAGUUGUAGGAUUGGGCAGAUACUUACUAAGGAUAACUUACUGAAAAAAAUGGAUGGGAAGUUAGAAGAGUUUUUCAAUGGAAAAUUCAAAUAGUUUGAUGACAUUUCCCCAGUAUUGGUUGUUAACAGUUGUAGGAUUGGGCAGAUACUAAGGAUAACUUACUGAAAAAAAUGGAUGGAAGUUUGAAGAGUUUUUCAAUGGAAAAUUCAAAUUAGAGCUUUAAGAAUUCAUAAGAAGUGAUGCCAAAACUAAUGUCAUCAAGAGUCAUUAUGUCAUUAACUAUAUUCUCACUGUUUAUCAAUUGCUAGACUUUAGCCUCAAAACUUGCCUUUUUUAAAAAUUUAUUGUAUUAUUUAUUGUUUGCUUUGAAGGCUAUUUGUCUUUUGCUUUUAAAAAAAUCUCUAAAUUCUCAAUAUAUAUAUAUAUAUAUUUUAAAUAUUGCAUAAAUGAAACCCAAACCAUCUGCAUUUCAACCUAAACUAUUCUGUACUACCUUCUAGAGGUCUUACUGUUUUUCGUUUGAGCUAAGACACACCCAUGGGCCUAUAUUGUUUUACAAGAGCUUCUGUCAAGUAAUCUGUUACAAGAACAUUGUGUUGUUCCAUUGAAUGGAAGAUGACUUGUAAAUUUGAUAUUUUUGCGACCAUUGUAGUUGUAUUUUUGUAAUUGACAAUUAUUCCUAUUUGGCAGGCUCCAGUCAAAUAAUUGCUCAAUAUUAUCAGUUUAUACGGCUUGGCUUUGAGGUAAUUCCAUCCUUUUGUUGUGUUGAUCAUAAAAAACUCUCAAGUUUCUUUGUGAUACAUUCCUCCUACUUUUAUGACACUUUGCAUGUACUAUGAAAUCCUGUUAAUUUGUAAGUGUUCAUAUGGCAUAUUGUUAAAGUUCAUCAGUUAAAGUUAGUUUGUUACCGGUAGACAUUGACAAAAUGAGGUUGAGAACUGAUGCACCAAAAUCGAUCAGUUGUGAUGGGAUCAAUUUUCUUGUUGUCUCAUGUUUUUUGGAUAUUAAACUGACUAGUGUUUGCUAGAUUUGAAAUGAUUCUGACUGCUCAUAUAUUCAAUAAAAUGUACAAUUUGGCCUGCAUUUGUCCAGGAAAUUACCUUUACUUUUAUUUCAAGUCUCAAGGUAUGUCCUUUUCUUGUCCUGUAAACUAGGGUUACAAGAACAUUAUGGAAAAUUGCAUGGGGAAUGCUAGAGCGCUAAGAGAAGGAUUAGAGAAAACAGGGCGCUUUGAAAUUCUCUCCAAGGAUGUUGGCGUACCCUUAGUAGCCUUUUCUUUGAAGGACAGCAGCGCACACACCGUGUUUGAGAUAUCCGAGGGUUUGAGAAAGUUUGGGUGGAUAGUUCCGGCCUAUACAAUGCCUGCUAAUGCUGAAAAU